UCUUUUGAUAUUUUAUAUAAGAUCGGACCUGCCCAUUGAUUUUUAAGAAUUAAAAGGCUGCGGUAUUUUAACUGUACGAAGGUAGCAUAAUCACUUGUCUUUUAAUUGGAGGCUAGAAUGAAUGGUUUGAUGAAAAAUAAACUUUCUUUUCUUUAUUAAUUUGAAUUUAAUUUUUUAGUUAAAAAGCUAAAAUAUUUUUAUAGGACGAGAAGACCCUAUAGAAGUUUACUACAUUUAUAAAAUAUAAUUUUUUGUUUAUAAAAUUAUUUUUUAGAAGAUGAAGUUUUGUUGGGGUGACAUUAAAAUUUAUAUAACUUUUAAUAUUUAUAUCACAAAUUUGUGUUUAUUUUGAUCCAGAAUUUUUGAUUAUAAGAUUAACUUACCUUAGGGAUAACAGCGUAAUUUUUUCGGAGAGUUCAUAUU
rnacentral:rRNA from 1 species